UGCAGGGAAGGUACACAGAACA
rnacentral:misc_RNA from 1 species